rnacentral:lncRNA from 1 species
UGGAGGAAGUGAAGCCUGGGUUGAACAUGACACAUGGAGUCAUGCACAGUUGUAGUUUUCGGAGCACAGUCAGCAAUAUCACCAACAUGGGGCCGUAUGGCACAGGAGACAGAAUGGGUACCAGCUGGGAAGCUUGGCACACCGCCCAAAGCAGCCCUCCUCUGGUGCACACAAUGGGCUGGAUGACCUGCAUUCAUCUUUAAAAGUAGGUGGAGACAGGUAGAUACGUAAUAACUGCAAGCGCGGAGCACAGCCCUGAGGACGUUUUAGGUCCUCAACAGUCAACAUUACAUCCUUUGAGUGACCAGACUCGUCAAUGUCACCAAGUGCAUCAUGACAGUGUUGAGUCUAGGAACGACAGCAGAGCUACUUGAACUUCUUGUGCCACAGUUUCUCCCACGUGUAGGACAAAAACAACUUCAGAUGGGAGGUGGCAAACAUGACUGUUAUCUCUAGUCAGGAGAACAUGUUCUGGAGCCUAGGUUUUAUUCAGUCUGAUAACCUGUAUGGAACAUCUGCUGAGGUUAGGGUUCUACAAAAACACUAGGGGAUUCCACAUCGGAUAAAAGAUUCUGCCUUUGUGUUUCAGAACUUUCAAAACAUCUGAGAACCUCCAGAUGCUGUAAAAUCACCACCACCACCAGCAGCAGCAACAACAAUAGCAACAGCAACAGCAACAACAACAGCAGCAGCAACAACAACAGCAGCAGCAACAACAACAAAAACAACAACAAUUCUUAGACUGAAGGGGAAGCAAUACUUUGGCCACAAUGAUAAUUAACUCCUCAUCUU